UACGGAGGGUGCAAGCGUUGUCCGGAAUUACUGGGCGUAAAGCGCACGCAGGUGGCUGAGUCAGUCGAUUGUGAAAGCCCUGGGCUUAACCUGGGAAUUGCAGUCGAUACUACUCAGCUAGAGUAUGGGAGAGGGUAGUGGAAUUCCCGGUGUAGCGGUGAAAUGCGUAGAUAUCGGGAGGAACAUCAGUGGCGAAGGCGGCUACCUGGCCCAAUACUGACACUCAGGUGCGACAGCGUGGGGAGCAAACAGG
rnacentral:rRNA from 1 species